UGGGGAACCACCUCCUCUGCCGCCGUCUCAGGAGACGGCACCGGAGCUUGUGCAUCAUCCUUUAAAACCUUCGGCUUGGUCGCGCAGGCUCCCAUGUCGUCCAAAAAUUCUUUCUUUCUCUCUCUAUUUCUUUCUUUCUUCCCCUCCCUGUCACAGAAACUUUCCCAAGAAUCUUUAUUAGCUCACGUAAAAUAAAGAAAAAACAAAGAAUGA
rnacentral:misc_RNA from 1 species